rnacentral:tRNA from 1 species
UUGGUUGCGGGGGCAGGAUUUGAACCUGCGGCCUUCAGGUUAUGAGCCUGACGAGCUACCGGGCUGCUCCACCCCGCGCU